rnacentral:ncRNA from 1 species
UCGUCUGGCAGACUGGGGCGAACCACCCCAGGCGGUGCAGGACAGGAAACCGGUGCGAAUCCGGUGCGGUCCCGCCACUGUGACCGGACCCCGCGCGGGUCCGGAAGUCAGACACUGACGCAUCGCCUCUUCACGUC